AGCGAACGCUGGCGGCAGGCCUAACACAUGCAAGUCGAACGAACCCUUCGGGGUUAGUGGCGGACGGGUGAGUAACACGUGGGAACGUGCCUUUAGGUUCGGAAUAACUCAGGGAAACUUGUGCUAAUACCGAAUGUGCCCUUCGGGGGAAAGAUUUAUCGCCUUUAGAGCGGCCCGCGUCUGAUUAGCUAGUUGGUGAGGUAAUGGCUCACCAAGGCUACGAUCAGUAGCUGGUCUGAGAGGAUGACCAGCCACAUUGGGACUGAGACACGGCCCAAACUCCUACGGGAGGCAGCAGUGGGGAAUCUUGCGCAAUGGGCGAAAGCCUGACGCAGCCAUGCCGCGUGGAUGAUGAAGGUCUUAGGACUGUAAAAUCCUUUCACCGGUGAAGAUAAUGACUGUAUCCGGAGAAGAAGCCCCGGCUAACUUCGUGCCAGCCGCCGCCGUAAUAC
rnacentral:rRNA from 1 species